rnacentral:lncRNA from 1 species
AGCGAAGUGAUAGGACCUUGAGAACUUCAGAAGAUGAAGCUACUUCUUUGUUACAAAAAGCUACAUGACGGGCAGUCUUAGGAAUUUCCAACUCCCCAUCGCCUUCUGUCGUAUAGCAUUCUUGUGCUGCAAUGGAUUGUGCAAGAUCAUGCAUAAGAUCAUGCAUUUUACAUGUUAUGUUGCCAAAUCCAUCAUCCUCGACCUCUUGCAGAAAUGACCUUCCCACUAGUUCAUUGAAUAUCUCAAUACCCAUGACGUGCAAAUCCAUUUCUCUUCUGCAAGAAAUAAAGCCAUUUGCCAUCCACAAAGCAACCAGCUCCUCCCUCCUCAUCACGUGAUCUUUUGGAAAUAUAGCGCAAUACGCAAAGCAUUGCUUCAAAUGUGGUGAUAGAUUAGUGUAACUCAACCUCAAAGCAGGUAAGAUCUUGCUUGCUUCUUCUCUUAGAUCCCAAAUCUCACUUUCUUUGACAGCUAUCCACUGAUCUUCACUUUCUUUUAACCGCAUUAGGUUCCCGAGUGCCUUUAUAGCUAAAGGAACACCACCACACUUCUUCACUAUUGAUACUCCAAUGGCUUCCAGGCGUGCCCGCUCCUCUUUCCUUCUCAUCCCGAAUGCAAGCUGUUGAAACAAAUGCCAAGAAUCUUCUCCAGACAAUCUCCCCAUGUGCUGGACAAAACCUGUUGCCAUUUUACGAGCAACCAUUUCAAGACGCGUAGUGACUAUUAUAGCACUACCUUUAGCUCCACAUCUUAAUACCUCCUUCAAUUCACUCCACCAAUCAGUACAAUCAUCCCACACAUCAUCCAGUACAAGCAAAAACUUCUUUCCAGUUAACUUUUGUUGGAGGCGUUGUUGCAAGGGAUCCAAUUCUUGAAGAUCACAUGAGGCACCAUCAAUGGACUCUAUGAUGGCUCUUGUUAAUCUUCCGAGAUUGAAAUCAGUAGAUACACACACCCAGAUCCUCAAACCGAAUUGUUGUUUAACCCUUUCUUCAUUGUAGACCAGUUGAACAAGUGUUGUUUUACCCAGCCCCCCCAUCCCCCAUAUAGCAUAAAUAGGGAGAUCACCUGAAGUAGGGAGCAGCACGGUGAUUAGUUCCUCUUUCUCCUUGCCUCUUCCAUAAAUUUCUGAUUCAUUCACCGAAGACCAAGUCUGACGCUGAACAAAACUAUCUGCUUCCAUCUUCACAGCCCCCUCUGUCAGGUGGAAAUUUUGUCUCUCCUUGGCAAUGGCAUCUAGUUUUUCUCUAACAUUCUUCAAUUUAUGAGCCAUCCUUUGUCGAAAAACUAGUGGAUUAUGACCAAAAGAAAAGAAGGAUCUUACUCGGUUUUUGAGAUCUCUUCGCUGCAGAAGCCACUGAGCUUCAAUUGCAAACUCAUCCAGUACAUCAUCAACAGCAUAAGCUGCAUCCUUGAGGUCGCUGAGCCACACCUUGAUAGGCUCACUCUUCCACUGCUUCUCCUCUGCAUCUUGCAGCACAGCUUGAAUGGUUCUGAACGUGCGCUUGAGAUUUUCAAGCUCUGUCGUUAGGCCCCCAGCAAAUCCAAGCUCUUGAAGAAUUGGGGAAUUCAAGUUCCCCAUGAUUGUACUCGCGAGAGCAGAAAGAAUUGCAUCAGCCAUAGCUUGGUUUCGAAUGGAAAUGAAUUGUAUGUUGACAAGAAGACGUAGAAAAGCUGUAAGGAUAACUAAAAGAAGGGGAUGUGAGCAAGAAAUAGUAAGUAAAUAUUGAGAAGACAGAGCAGUUUGAGAUGAGAAACGGAAAAGGUGAAAGUGUUUGGUGAUGGGCUUUACCUGUGCUAUUCUGUGAAUAAAUUGAUUAGGCUCCACACGGUGGAGCUUGACUAGCUAUGGCUAUAAUAAAGCAAUUGAAGAUUCAGAGAAGGAACAUGGCUGUGACAGGAAGACGAAAUCUGUCAAAUGAUAAUGCAAGAUUGGUUAUGGAAAAGAGAAGUGCAGAAGGACCAAAUAAUUGCUCACUCUCUGGAAUAAUCAAAUAUUAGUCUAUCUUGGACAUGAAUAGGGAAAGGAAGAAAAGUUAUUAAUAGUUAUUAUAUUUUCAAAUAUUUGUUAUUUUAGAGUGGUGGUUCAAUUUUUUCAAAAUAUUAAAGCAUUGAAGUUUCUGAGAAGCAACACGCCUGUGAUUUGAAGACAACAUCUGUCAACUUGAAUUUCAUUAGGCUCCACACGGUGCGGACUUGACUAGCCAUGCCUGUAUUAAAGCAAUUGAAGUUCCUGAGAACCAACACGGCUGUCAUUUGAAGACAACAUUCCACCUUGAUUUUUCUUUUCAAUUGAAGUUUUCGCUUUCUCAAAUAAUUUAUCUAUGCAAAAGUCAAAAUGUAUUUUUAUAAAGAAUAUUUACUUUCUCAAAUAAUUCUGAUUAUAAAACUUUAAAUACCAUUGAAAAUGAAUUCAACAAGAAAAACACAAACAUGCCUAGUUGCUCAUAUGCUAAUGUACUUAUCCACUACUGUGCUAAUUUGUGAAAUAUUUUUGUCUACUGCGUGUAGAAAAAAACUCUCAAAUUUCUCUUUGUUCUCUGUUGUACCAUCAAACGAAAAAUCCAAAGUGAUAAUGCAACAUCAUCCAAAAGUUUAGCCCACGAUCCCUUGCGCUGACAUGACCCUCUGUGCAGGGAAAUAUAACGAGCCUAUGAUUAAACUGACAGAGAAAGGAAGAAAUUGCCUCAACAUGUUGCUGAGGAUAACUGUGGUCAAGAUUAUUGCAGGUUCAGAAUCUAAUAAACAAUAUCUGCUUGAAACACUUCUAUCCUUUUCUAACCAUAAUAAAAUGGGUUUUAUGAGGACUUCUCACAAAUAACAUGGUCCUGAUUGAACUUCUAAACAUAGAUUAAGGAUCAGAAUCUGACGAGGGAAACUUAAGUUGAUAUAAUUCAUAAUUUAACAUGAAUCUAGUAACAUAGUUGAGCCUUGAAAAAAUUAUUAUACACACUAGUGUUUAAACGAGGAGUUUCUACAAGUAGAUUAUAUGAAUUUCUACAAAUAUAGACACACCCUAACACAUAAAUUUACUUGGAGUCUCAAUUUGUUUUAUUAUAGGCCAGAAUUAACUAUGAUUUUGAGUAUAAUUUGCUUUUCUUUUCUUUUUUUCCAAAUGAGCAUAGCAGUUUCAAAGUGCAUCCAUAGCAGUUAAUUCUUAGAAAUAAUUAUAAAAAUAUCUUAUAGUUUAAUUAUGUUUUUAUUUUACCUUUUAUAUUUUUAAAAAUUACACUUUAUAUGUUAUGAUUCAUAAAUUAAUAAAAAAAAUGUUUCAGUCAAAGCUUGUUUUCUAAGGCAAAGGAAUUGGAUGUUGACAAAGAAAGAAGUGAAAAAGUUUCAAGCAUAGCUAAAAGCACGGGAUGCGAGCAAGAAAUGGCAAGUAAUUAUUGAGAAAUGUAAAAGGUGAAAGUGUAUGGUGAUGGUAAUUAUACAAUAUUGUUAUUGUCAAAUAUUAUUUUUUAAAAUAAAUAUUAUUUGAAAAUAUAUUAAAAUAAUAUUUUAUUAUUAUUUAUUAAAAUUUAUUUUUGAUAUAGAUAUAUUAAAACAAUUUAAGAAUAUAAAAAAAUAAUUGAAAGUAAAAGAAAAAAAUUAAUUUUUUAAAAAAGUGUGGUCCAACCACAAAAACAAACAUUAUCUUACUUAUACUAUAAAUCUCUUUUUAAUAGUGAAUAGGUAGGUGUUUUGCUCUACGUUGCGGGUUUGGUGAAGUUAUUCCUAACAUAAUAAAAGAUGUGCAGCCAAUGAUAACCCUAAUCAAUACAACUUAACUUGACCAAUACAUGACAUAGGAUAUGAGAUCGAGAUUACCUUGAAGAAAAGAAAGUAAAUAAAAAAAAAUCAUAACAAAUCUCAAAGCCUAAUAACCUAUUGUCAAAUGAUAAAAUUAAAAAAAAAUCAAGUUUAAGAAAAAGUAACAUCAAAAAAUAAAACCGAGUCAACUUGGGUUAACUUGACCAACCUAUUAUCCACAAUAUAAGAUCAGGAUAAAAAAAUUAUAUAUUUUUUUAAAAGGACCUAGAAUAAAAAACUAAAGUUAAAUAAAAGAAACGUCAGAAAAAACUUAAGUUAACUUGACAAACCUGCACUUAGAAUGACCCCACAUAAAAAAAGUGAAAGAAUCAUAAAGCUCAAGGUCAAUAAUAAUAAUAAAAAUUCUUAAAAACAAUUUGAGAAAAAAAACAUUGAGUCAACUCGAGUUAACUCGAUUAACCUUCCGUCCAAGAUAUUAGAUCGUGAUAAACUCAAAAAAAUAAAAGUUGAACAAAUAACAAAGCUCAAGCUUCAAUAAUCCAAUGUCAAAUGAUAAAAAAAAUAAAAAAUAAUAAAGGAUAAAAAAAAGACUUAACUUAAAUUGGGUUAAUAUUCGAAACCAAUGAUCUAGAUAAUGACAAUAUGAUUAUCAUGCGGAAUGGUAAACACAAAUAAAAAUCACAAAGUAAAAUUUCCAAUCAUAAUUUUUUUUUCAAAAAAAAAUAAUAAUGAAAAUAUUAAGGAUCAAAUAUGGUAUAAAAACCAAAUGAAAAAAAUAAUAAUUUGGGAUUAAAUUAAAAAAGAAAAAAAAUUAAAAAUAGCAAUAAAAAGAAUGGGAACCAUUAUUUGAUAAAGAAAUUAAAUGAAAUAAAAUAUUGAGGGUUAAAAAUAAAAAACAAAUAAAUCAAGAAAAUAAUAAGAAUACAUAGAUCAAAAGAGUGAGGAUCAAGCUUGAAUAAAAACAAUUAAAGGGAAUAAAAUGAUGAAGGAAAAAAUAAAAUAAAAAACAAAUCAAGAAAAUAGUAAAACACAUAAGAAAAAUUAAAAAAAAUAUAGUUUUUUUUAUAAUAUUUAUUUUCUAAAAUUAUCAAACAACCCCUGGCUCAACUUUAAAAAAUUAAGAAAAAUACAAAAACCCCUUGGAACCAUACUUAUAUUAUUUUUAUUAAGGAAAAAUUCUGUCUCUUCACUAUUCUUAAGAAAUAAAAAAAAAAUACAUAACCAAGGAGGAAUGAGAUUAAAAAGAGUUACAAAUAUUAUUUAAAUGAUCAAUGAUUAUUAUAUAGAGAAUAAACAUGAUUUAACAUGGUAGACAUACUCUAUACUUUAAUAUUAAAUCAAAACAUUAUUGAUAAAAGGAUAUUAAUUACACUAAGAAAUUGAUCACUGAAAGGUUAAGUCAAACCAUUAAUGAUUGUUUUUAAUAUUUAGGAGAUUAAGACACGUUGAUAAACGAUGCAAAUUGUAUUCAAAUAUAAAUUAAUCAAUUAUUGAAUUGAUAAUAAAUUAAAUUGUUUAAUUUAAUUAAUUCUAAUUAAAUUAUAAUUAUAAUUUAUAUUUGGGCCAACAUAUUAAGAAUUUAAUAGGUCACAUAUGUUAAAAACUUUUAGGUAGAAAUUAAACUGGGAUGAGUAUGGCUUGAUUAAAAUAUAUUUUAGAAGUUAACGACUAAAAUAUAAUAAAUACAAGUAUUAUAUUUUUAGACCUAGAAAAAUCAAAUAAGUACUUAAUUGAGUUAAUUUCUAAAUUUUUUUUGAAUUAAUAUAUGGAUAUUAUUCAAGGGACAAACUGAUAUUUUGCUAAUUUAUAAGGUUUUUAGAUUUAUCUAUAAAUAGCAAGUUAUGCAUUUUAUUUUAUUUAUUAGAUUGUCAAUUAAACAGAAAAACUACAUAAAUACAAAAUUAGAGCGAACAAUUUAAGUAUAACAAUUUCUCUUCUAAUUAGAGAUUUAAAAGAUUUUUCACUGGUUGUUCGUGUGGAUUACUGUUGGAUGCCAGAUAAUUAUAUAAUUUAUAGUUUGUUAUAACUCAACCUUUAAAAAAUUAUUUAAAGUUAAAAAAAAUCAUGUAUUUAGGUAAUAAAUUCCUAAACAAUUUUAUAUUUAUCUAACGAGAUAUUAGAGACUUGUAAAUAAUUUUAUUUUACUGUUUUUAUUACUUCGGGUAUAUUUUUUUUGGAAAACUCAACAAUAAACUCAUUUCACCAUGGAAAAAAAAGAGUGUAUGGACUAAUUUGUUAACACUCGAUUUUGUAAUGCAUAAUUGAUCAGUUGAAAAGUUGAUUUUACCCGAUUAGAAGAAACUUGUUAGUUUUUUUCAGAAUACUUAAAGUGUAAAUGUUUCUUGCAUCAGAGUGUUUUACUGCUAGCUUUUAAUCGUUUUUCUUUUGGUAAUGUAAUUGUAAAUAAUGUGGUGGUUUUAAUUAUAUUAAAAUAUUAAAACUGCAGUCCUCUAACUAUAUAUUGAUUGGGCUCUACACGGUGCAGACUCGACUAGCUAUGCCUAUAUUAAAGCUACUGAAGUUUCAGAGAAGUAAUAUGGCUAUGAUUUGAAGACAACAAUCAUCAACUUGAAUUAGCUUGUCGGUUAGUAAAUGUCUUUGUCCCGUACAGGCCAAUCCGCGUAGGCUUCACACGUUGUAGACUUGACAAAUCAAGAAAAGAUAAAAGACUGAAGAAAAGAUAAGAUUGUGGGUUUGCUUUUGUAUACUCCCCAAAGUCAAGAACGUCCUUUAGGUGCCUCUCCACUAAGAAAUUAUGCAACCAAGAGGCAAUGCACAUGAUUUUUUAUAUCCAAAGAUCGCAAAAGAUCUGAUCAAAACUGUGGUGCAAUUUUUUAUGACUCUUUCGUUCUUCGUUUCAUCCUAUGCUUGGUUUCAAAACUGUGGUGCAAUUUUGCCCGUGUGAGAUGUAGGAACUUCCCGGAGGAGGGAGGGUUUCUAAGCGAGUUAUUACUAGGAUAAUAAGGCUUGGUUUCAUUGCUGUGUAGGAACUUCCCGGAUUCCGGCUACAAGCCUAUCUAUCUACCUUUAACUUGUCCUUGUGGGUGUGAGCUGUGACUUCUGUUUGCAACAUAUGUAUUGUGGUUUCAAAUUUCUCUUUGUUCAUUGGUGUACAAUCAAAAGAAAAACCCAAAGUGAUAAUGCAACAUAUGGAUUGUGCUUUCAAAUUUCACUUUGUUCAUUGGUGUACAAUUAAAAAAAAAAAAAAAAACCCAAAGUGAUAAUGCAACAUCCAAAAGUUCAGCCCACGAUCCCUUGAACUGUCAUGGCCCUAUGUACAGAGAAAUAUAACGAGCUUACGAUUAAAUUGACCCCAGAAAUGAAAAGCUUGGGCAAAGGUACAACCCUGGAACACUCAUGAGAACUUACUUCAAUCUCAUAGAUGAAUUAAGAUUCACACAAGUAGUUUAGAGGUGAUUUUACUGGCAGGAUGUCCACCCCCCCCCCAAAGUAAAAUGAACACUCCAAAAGAGCUACCGAACCUAUCUAACUUCCAUACGAAACCCAGCAUUAACAAAGACAACAAGAAUACAACAGAUUAUAGUUGAGAAAGCACGAUAUUUGCAAGGAAAAUCUGUAAAAUGCUCAUUCAGCAUAAUGGACAGUCAUAGGAAUCUUCCCCUGAUGUAACCUCAGAAUCUUCUUCCUCUUCAUCAUAUUCAGCAAUUCCUAAUGGUUGCAUUGACAGUCAUCUUGGUCAGGGCAGCAAUCCUGCUAGCCAUCUGUGAUCAGCUGCCUAUAGUGGGAGGAGCAGGCUGCACAACAGUGGUUGGCGAGUCUUCUUAAUCAGAAGAGUUUGUGCCUAGCCAUCUUCUAGAAUGAGAUGGUCUAGUUGAUUGCGGCGGGGCUGGUGUUUGUGGCAUUGCAGCAGGGCUAUCUGUUGGUGGGAGAAACCACUGGUGGUGGCUUUGAAACACUCAGAGGGGAUAAAACACACUGUUUUAUUACACAAAACCGAAGCUUACAAUAACUUAACAAAAGCUUAACAAUUACACGCCCUCUCUCUCUCUCUUUCUCUUUCAAGUGUUCCUCUCAAUUCUCUCCACUCAAAUAAACACAAGCUGGGCACUCUAUUUAUAGACAAAAUCAGAAUAUGAAAAUUCAAACUUUCUUCAAGUGUGAAGGCGGCUGGCGGCUGCGGCGGCUGGUGGCUGGCGGCUGCGGCUGGUGGCUGGUCGGCGACUGGUGGCUGGUGGCUAGUUGCCUUCCUUGACCUUCUGGGAGCUUCUGGAUUGAGUUUAAUAUUCAACAAAUCUUCCCCUUAAACUCAAUCGAGGGAUGUCAUGCCAAGCAUGAACUUUAAUCGGAUGAAUGCUUCUCCCUUCAAUGGCUUUGUGAAGAUGUCAGCAACUUGAUCAUUUGUGUUGCAAGAUAUCAGUUGGACUUCUUCAUUCUUCACAUGUUCCCGGAUAAAGUGAUGACGUGUAUCAAUGUGUUUGCUCCUCUCAUGAUACACUGGAUUCUUUGCUAAUGCGAUUGCUGAUCGAUUGUCAAUAUAAAUCUCCGUAGGAUUUUCUUGAGGAAAUCCCAAAAACUUCAGCAUAUUCCUUAACCAUAUUGAAUGGCAUACGGCUGAGUUGGCAGCAACAUACUCAGCUUCACAGCUUGAUAAUGUGACAAUCGAUUGCUUCUUGGAUGACCAUGUGAAAGAUGUGUCUCCCAUGAAAAAGACAAACCCUGUUGUGCUUUUCCUUUCAUCCAGAUCUCUACCCCAAUCACUAUCCGAGUAGCCUACAAGAUUAAAGUCUUUACUUGAGGUAUAAAACAUACCUUCAUUCAUUGUGCCUUUGAUGUAGCGAAGAAUUCUCUUGGCUGCAUUCAAAUGAGACUGGUCUGGUGUCUCCAUGUAUCUGCUGACGAGUCCGACUCCGUAGAGUAUAUCGGUCUGGUACAUGUCAAGUACCUUAAGCUUCCUACUAAGCUUUUGAAGUAAGUUGGAUCAACAUUUCCAACCUUACUCUUCCUCAAUUCCACUCCAUUCUCAACUGGAGUUGAUACCGGAUUGCAGCUUUCCAUCUUGAACCUUUCAAGAAUAUCUUUGGCGUAACCGCUUUGGGAUACAAAAAUCCCUUCUUCCUUCUGCGUUACUUCUAAGCCAAGAAAAUGUGACAUUAGACCAAUGUCAGUCAUUUCAAACUCCUGUACCAUGCUUCGUUUGAAGUCGUCAAACAUGGUAGGGUUGUUGCCGGUGAAUAUCAAAUCAUCAACAUACAGGCACACAAAUAAGAUGCUGCCAUCUGCUCCUUUCUUCACAUACAUUGCGUGUUCAUAUGGACAUUUUUCAAAUCCAUUAUCUUGAAAAUACCUGUCAAUUCUGGUAUUCCAAGCACGCGGAGCUUGCUUCAAACCAUAGAGAGCCUUCUUCAACUUGUAUACUUUGCCUUCAUUUUCAGCAUCAAUGUAUCCAAGUGGUUGUUCAACAUAGAUUUCUUCUUCUAGGAAGCCAUUCAGAAAUGCUGACUUCACAUCGAGUUGAUAGAUCUUCCAUCUAUGUUGUGCAGCUAGUGAGAUCAUCAGUCUGAUUGUCUCUAGCCGGGCUACUGGAGCAAAUACUUCUCCAUAGUCAAUGCCUUCUCUCUGUUUGUAGCCUUUAGCCACUAAUCUGGCUUUGUAUCUUUGCACUUCUCCUUUGGCGUUCUUCUUCGUCUUGUAGACCCAUUUGACACCUAUUGCUUUCUUGUUUUCUGGUAGAUAAGUCAGCUUCCAGGUAUCAUUCUUCUCAAUGGCAUGUAUUUCUUCAUCCAUUGCUUCUAUCCAUUUCUCUUCUGUGACAGCUUCAUUGAAGUUUAAUGGGUCACUAUCUGCAAAGAAACAAAACAGAGUUGUAUCUUCCAUGACCUGAGUGGUAUCGUACAACUCUUCAAGAUUCCGCAUCCUUCUUGGUCCUUCUGAUGAGGAUGCUGGUCGUGUUGAUGAUGAUGCUUCUGGUGUGUUCCUCCUGUUGAAUACAGGGAAACUGUGUGCCGGACUUUGUGGUUCAGCAAUCGGUUCUUCGACAAGUACUGUUGGUACUUCUUCACCUUCAAGGAUCAAAUCAAGAUUGAUCCAUUUGAUUGCUUCUUGAUCACCAUUCCAUGCCCAAGAUUUAUCUUCUUCAAAGAUAACAUCUCUACUUGUAAUCACCUUCUUCGUGAUGGGAUUAUACAGCCUGUAUCCCAUCCUUCUUUCACCAUAUCCGACAAAGAUGCAUUUCUCGCUCUUAUCAUCGAGCUUUCUCCUUCUUGCAUCUGGGAUCUUUGCAUAUGCCACACAACCAAAGACUCGUAGAUGAGUAACACUUGGUUUGUGACCACUCCAUGCUUCUUCUGGAAUGACUCCUUGCAAACUUCUGGUUGGGCAACGAUUCAGUAGAUACACUGCACAUGUUAUAUGUGUGGAGAGAAUUGAGAGGAACACUUGAAAGAGAAUAGAAAGAGAGAGGGCAUGUAAUUGUUAAGCUUUUGUGUUGUAUUUGUAAGCUUCGGUUUUGUGUAAUAAAACAGUGUGUUUUAUCCCCUCUGAGUGUUUCAAAGCCACCACCAGUGGUUUCUCCCACCAACACUAUCAACAUCAAAGUUGACAUUGAUUUCCAAAGUCCUUGCAAUAGAUGACAGAAGUUAGCUAGGGAAAAGAAGAGGAAGAAGACUGAAAAAUCAAUACUACUUCUAAAACUAAAUUGGUGAUUAUGCUCCAUCAAGUAUUAGCCACUAAACCAACUUCUAUAUCCUGAAACUUUCGAGUGUCUAAUGGAAUAAUUUUUCAAUUUGCCUAGAAUCCUCAUUAAUAUCUUAUUUGUUAUUGAUACCAGAAAUAUCGUAACGAGCACAGACAGAUCAUUGUAAUUUAGUAUAUAAAUACAGUCUUAUAUUUCAUCAUCUCAGCAUUUCUUUGAUUUACAUUUUUUUUUUUUUUUGUGAUUUGUGACUAACAUAUCUAGCGAACUGCCAUUAAAGACGCAGAUCUUUCAGGAAUUUCCUAGGAAAAGAAGAAUUUUACCUAAAAUAAAUCUUGAUUGAUCAUCCAAUAGCUCCUCUUCUGGUUGCUUGUCUACUGACUUGAAUCGUUCAGCCAUCUGUUUCAACUCCUUUACAAAGGUCUUUCCUUAGUGAUACAGUUUCAGCCGCCUGAUUUAAGAGUUUUCUCAUUAAUUUUAUCACAUCUUAUUCUGAUACCCGAAAAUGGAGUAUGACAAGUAUUCUACAAAGACCUGGAAUAAGAAACACGUGACCAAGGAUGCUAAUAUAAUAAGCAAAAUAUAAAACACAUUUUCUAUUUUCAUUUCCAGGCAGGACAAACUUUUGAUUUAAGAAGGUACCAAUUAAGCAGAUACGAUUUGUUGUGCCAUGAGCUAGUAUUUCCUCGUAUGGAGAAGGUGAGCAGUUUGAAGAAAAUAGUUAAGAAGUUAUAGUACUCUGAUUGGAGCUGCAGAGGGGCUUUUACAGGAACCAAAAUACUACCUUGGUGUACGGCUCAUGGAGGAGUCCUAUCUUUGUUUAGUUCUCCUUUCAUUUGAAAAAUGCUUUUGCUUUAUGCUUCCUAAGGGUUCUUGAGUUCUCUAUGGUCAUCAGUGGAGCUAAGCUUCUCCUUGUUCUGGUAUCUAAAUAGAGCAGUUUUGCUUUUUCCAUAACGAAGUAUAAGAUAUCUGACAAGAAACAGGUACCCAAGAAACCAUGUAAAUCCAAGUCCCUCAUGUGAACAUUCAAAUGAAGGCUGCCAAGAGCCAUCUACAGUUUCAGUUGAUUGGGUGCUACCGUUUUCACCCUCAUUUUCAAAUGAAGAAAUUUAAACCCUUAUAAACCAGCAUAUAGUUUAUUUUAGACAAAGAUAAUGCCCAGUCACAACUUGAGAUGUGAUCUGCAUUUCAACAAAGUAAAAUCUUUUUAACCCAUUUCCUGGAAGUAAGCCUUACAUUAUUCAACACAAAAUGCAGAAUCAUAAGGCAAGCAAACAAAGCAAUAACAUCUGUUGCUACUUCAAAUACAAAGGGAAACAAAUUGAAGGAUAUCCAUCAUGAUGACACAGAUCUUUCUAUGGUUCCUCGGACAGACAACUAAAAAUAACAAUAUUUCAUAUGAUGGGUUGGUUGAGGGUUCUCUUGGCUUCCGAAGGAUGGUGGUUUCUGCAUUCAUGGAAGUCGCCUCAAAGCACCCCUUUCCGUCCUCAAAGCACCCCUUUCCUUCUUUCUGUGUGUAGCAGCAAACAUGAAAGGCAGCCUGCGAUUACCAAAACCCUGUCAAUCGCACAAGAUAUAAUGAAAUUAAUGCAAGACAUCUUUCUGUGUGUCGCGGCAAGGAAAUUGUUUCAUUUUCCUCUUACCAAUUUGAAAGUAUUUAUAUCAGCUGUUUCGUGUCAUCCAGUGAGUCUCUGCUCUUUCCCUUCUCCAUAAGCUGAAAUGUGUUCUUUAUGCCUCAGACCAAGCUUUUCAAUUGCUUUCUUGAUGACUUCAUAGCCUAUUUCAUUUCUCAUUGACUUGGUAUUGAAAAUGUGAAGAAUUUUCAAGUAGAAGACAAAAAUAAUAAUCAAGAAGGGUGGAAUAAAGAAGCAAACAAGUUAAGUUUCAAUCAAUGAUGCAAAAUUGUACCUGUCAUUUUUGUGUGCCCCCGCUCCUUUCCAAUCUCCUUGACAAAACAAAAAUCCAAUUUCUUGAGAGUUCAAACAAUAAAAGUACUGAAAACAUGCAAACUUGCACCAUCCAUUAAGGUACAAUGAAAUAAAAACUGACCUGAAUUGGCUUGGGAUCAAAUGAAAGCACAACUCCAGCAACCUCAGUAAUCCUCUGUUAACAUAAACAUAGACAUUUCAGAAAACAAUAGAAAUUGGAGAACAAGAUCAGAAUGGUUCUAAACUAGAAUAAUAAGAUCAAAAUGGUUGAAGAGAAAUGCUAGUUCUUUUAUUUUACUUGGCCUGGCAUCACUUCUCCGUUGAUACCACUAGGGUUGAUGCCUGCAUACAGGCAUGCCUUGUAAUGUGCAUCCAUAAUGCAGCAUUUAUGGAUGAUGUGUGGGAUUGCAACCAUAAUUUAACAGUACCUGAGGUCCAAGUAAGGUUCAUGAAUAUAGCGCCCAAUAAGCUCUAAAGUAAGGUUCAUGAAUGCUGGAAAGAAUUUGAUGGUGUUGCAUUCUCCACUGCUGGGCAACCAUCUUUGACCCCAUGCAACAGUAAAAGGAAUAAUCUUUAGUUAUGGAAAAGCAAAACAAUAAUGCGAGGAUAUCAAAUGCUAGAGUGGUACCUAAAAGAUCAUUGAGGGGACCAAUUGGGGACGGAGGAUGAGUAUUGACUGCUUGAAGUUUAUGCUACAUAAAAUUUGUUUAUAGCAGCGUUGCGCUGGUUGCUUCCCAUCAACAAUAUCUAAUUCCAUGCCUGAUAAUAGAUAUAAAGACCCCAUAUAGCAGUAUAAAUUAAUCAGAGUUUAAUAAAAAAAAAAACGUAAAAACAAUCACAAUAUCUGAAAGAGCAUAGCAGUGGAGGAUGAUCAGAUGUAGAUGGUUAUUGGCAAAAAAGGCACUAGAGUAUCAGAUUCUCGAUGAGAUGAAUUCGCACCAGAAAUAGGAAGUAAUCAAGCUACACCAAAACAUGCAGUAGCUAAAUUAUUAGUACAAUUAUCCUGGAAAUGAAGAUUUUUUUUUUUUAAUGAUUAGUACAAUUGUCCUCGAAAUGAAGAUAUUUUUGACUUAUAAAACAAGACCAACAAACAGUAUUAUGCAGAAUCACAAGUACAAGAUAAUACUGACAAAAGGUUCAAGCGAUCUCGUUCUUGCAAUUUACCCCUAAAAAAUAAGAAAGUAUAUUAUAACUCAUAGAGUUUCGUUUUUUUAAUAAAAGAAGGAUUUGAAGUGUAAUUUUACCAUGAUAAUAUUUAAUGAGAAAUAAUCAUCCCUUACAUCUAUAUUGAUAUUUGGUGAAAAUAUAGUGGGUCUUGAAGGACUUUUAUAAUCUAAAAAAAUAGACAUGCUAAGGAAGGAUAGUAGUUACCUUGGACUUCGUUAACUGACAAGUCCAAAUAUCUUGGGUCUGGUAUAUUUGCUAGAUUCAUGUUGUCCUGAACUUGGUUGAUUGUUAAGUCUAAGUGCCUCAGGUCUGACAUGUUUUCUAGACUCAUGUUACCUUGAACCUUGAUGGAUGCCAAGUCCAAGUGCAUUGGACAUGACUGACUAUCAAGUUCAAAUGUUUUGGACUUAGUGGAAGGCCAUGUCUAAGUGUCUUGGGUGUGGCAUGUUUGUCAGACCCACGUCACUUUGGACUUGAUUGUCACAUUCAAGUGCCUUAAACUUGGCCGACUACCAAGUCCAGGUGCCUUGGGUCUGGCAUGUUGAUUAGACCGACAUUACUUUAGACUUGGUUGAUUGUCAAGUCUAAGUGCUUUAAGUGUGGCAUGUUUGGAAAUAGUUGUUCUCAUAAACUAAGAUAUAAGAAAUAUAUAGAACUAAUAUAUAUGUGUUUAUCAUAAAACAUGUACAAUGAACUUACCCGCAUGAGAAUCUUAUAUGGAAAGAUUACUUAUGUUUAUAAAAAAAGUUCACAUAACAAUUGAGUAAGUGAUCCUUAGACUUGGGACUACAAAGUUAUCUUAUAUAAAGAAUGUUAUAUUUUGAUCUUGUUACAUGUUAUCUUAAUUGAGGUAAUGAAAAGGCAAACAUUGGGUAUAACAUGAACUAUAUGAAAGUACUUGAAUGAUUAAGAGAUGAUUCAUCAUAGUAGGUGAAUUAGGAAAAUAUUUUAUCCGUUUUCAAAUAGUAUUGAUUUAGAAAUUCUUGAUCAAGAUGGAAUGCGAUAUGAAAAUAGUUUUAAAUCUUAUUUAAACGAUCAAUGAUUGUUAUGUAGAGAAUAAACAUGAUUUAGCAUAACAAAUAUAUUUGAUGCUUUAAUGUUAAAUGAAAACAUUAUUGAUGAAAAUAUAUUAAUUACACUGAGAAACCGGUCACUAAAAGAUUAAAUCAAAGUACUAAUAAUUUUUUUAAUAUUUAGAGGAUUAUGACAUGUUGCUAGACAAUACACUUGAUUUUCAAAUAUAAGUUAAUCAAUUAUUGAAUUGAUAAUAAAUUAAAUUAUUUAAUUAUAAUUUAUAUUUGAACUAACAUAUUAGGAACUUAAUAGGUUACACACAUUAAAAACCAUUAACUAAAAAUUAAAAUGAGAUGAUUUAAUUAAGUAUGACUUGAUUAAGAACUUGAUUAAGUUAAUUUCUAAAAUAUAAUUAAUGACUAGAAUAUAAUUAAUACAUGGAUUAUAUUUCUAGACCUAAAAAAAUAAAAUAAGGACUUGAUUAAAUUAAUUUCUAAAAUUACCCUGAAUUAAUAUAUAGGUAUUAUUCAGGGAAAAAAUUGAUAUUUUGCUAAUUUAUAGGGCUUUUUAGAUUUUUCUAUUAAUAAUAAAUUAUGCCUCUUAUUUUUUAUAAGAUUUUUUUUAUUAGAUAAAAAAUAUAAUAACUAUUAAUAACUAAUAAUAAAAUUAGAAAAGGUAAUCGAAAGUGUUAAAUCUAUAGUUAUUUUUUAAAAUAUGCUAACAUACCAAAGACUCAUGAUUUGAAGACAACAUUUAUCAACUUAAAUUUGCUUGUUGGUUAGUAAAUCUCUCAACAUUUAUAGUGGCAAUUAUCUGUCAACUGAAUGGGGAUUCCAUGCUUAUAGGUAUUUUCAAAUUCACGUGUGCUUGCUAGUGAUUUUCUUCCCAUCCACGUGUCUCAAGUAAAUGAACGCAGACUUCUUGCAAUAUAUAUAUAUAUAUAUAUAUUGAAUUGAAAGAGAAAUUACCUUUCAUUUUUAGGAUAUAUCAAUGUGAGGGAUGCGAGCUAUUUUGGAUCAGUCCUCUCCUUUCUCUUUUUUACAUCUUUUCUUUAAUUUUGGACAUUUAUAAAUUUUCAACGAGCUGAGGUUGCUGAGACUCUGCACCCCAUCUGGCAAAGACUCCAAAUUAGGGCAAUACCCAAUAUUCAAGCUUGAAAGGGACGUGAGAUAUCCAAUCUGAUUUGGUAAAGAAACUAAUCCCUCACAGUACCAUAUUUGUAGAUAUUGGAGAGAAGUGAGAUGUUGGAUAUCCUCUGGCAAUGAAUUCAGCUCUGGACAUCUAGAAAGGUACAAACACUCAAGUGCCGUCAGAUGCCGCACUCCCUCUGAUAGAGAUGUGAAUUUAUCACAUUGUGUAACAACUAACCGGCGAAGAGAAGAUAAGCCACACAGCCCAUUCAUUGGCAGACAAUUUAAUCUUCCACAAGCACCAAUCUCUAAAAUCUCUAAGGAAUUGAGGUUACGAAGACCUUCCUCUGGCAAGCUUUCAAGUUUCCUGCAACCCCAUAUCUCCAAGCUUUUAAGAGCAGAAAGGUUAUCUAAUACCCUAUUUGACAAAGACUCCAGAUUUGUUACGCUAACAAUUUCUAAGCUUUCAAGGAGGGUUUGAUUUUGUAAAAUCCCAUCGGGAAGCUCCCUCACAUCGUUAAUCCCUUCAAUAUGAAGAAAAGUGAUGGAAGUGAGAUUCCUAACUGACAUCAGCAAUGAAGCAUUCACUCCCUCGAUGUGCAGUGAUUUGAUGGAGGGUAUAAUUGGUAUUUCGCUCAACAAAGGGCAACAGACUAUCUUCAAUUCUCGAAGGCGAGGAAAAGUACACGCAGCCCAUUGCUCUAAUCCCUCCAUAGACUCAAAAGUCAGCGUCUCCAAAGAUGGGAAUGGAUUUUGCCCAUCUCCAUACACAUUGUUAUCAAUACUCUUCACACCAUCCAUUCCCCGCAAUACAAGCCUCUUGAGGAACUGCAGUUUCCCCAAUGGUGGAAGUUGUUCACAGUGGUCACAUGCUGAUAGCUCCAUCUCUACCAGAUUUGGUAGCGUCAUGUUCAAGUUCAUCAUCCAAUUAGAAAAUCUUGAACCUCCAUAACCCAAUAUCCUCAACCUCUUCAAUUUUGAAUGAGGUUGAAGCCCUUCAAGGACCUCCUCGCAAUUUACUUGAAUAACACUCUUUCUUUGUUGCGGUGGCACAAAUGACCAAGGGCUAAAAAGGUAAUAUACAUUACCAUGCCAAGAUAAAGCUAGUGAUAAAAGAGCUGUCUUCAGCUUCAAAUUGGCACUUGUGGCAUCUUUUAAAUUCUUAACAUUCACAAGAUCUCCGAUACUCAAUUCACCAGUAAGAUUAUUCAGCCAUUCCAGCUCACUUAUACGACGACCAUUCUCUCCACCCACGAUGAACAGGGUAAGUUUUCGCAGGCAUUUCAGUUGUCCCAUUCCAGCAGGCAUAAAUCGAAGUGAACGGCAAUAUGUGAUGUCAAGAUAGACAAGACUUUUCAUGUGCUUCAUACCUUUUGGUAAUUGGAUGAGUUUGCUGCAAGAACUCAGAUCUAGUGUCUGGAGGUUUUGGAGUGAGGUUAUACUUUCAGGCAGUGUUUUGAUGCUGGAGCCUGACACAUCUAGAUACCUUAGAUGUUUCAAAUCACAAAUUGACUUCGGCAAUUUCUUGGCCCGGAUAUUUCUUAAACUCAAGGCUCGAUGUUUUCGACCAGGAAUCUUUCCCCAUCCAUUCCAAGACUGUUCAUUCCUCACAAGAAGUGAGCGAAGUGAUAGGACCUUGAGAACUUCAGAAGACGAAGCUACUGAUUUGUUAUAAAAAGCAACAUGACGGGCAGUUUUAGGAAUUUCCAACUCCCUAUCGCCUUCUGUCGUAUAGCAUUCUUGUGCUGCAAUGGAUUGUGCAAGAUCAUGCAUAAGAUCAUGCAUUUUACAUGUUAUGUUGCCAAAUCCAUCAUCCUCGACCUCUUGCAGAAAUGACCUUCCCAAUAGUUCAUUGAACAUCUCAAUGCCCAUGACGUGCAAAUCCAUUUCUCUUCUCCAAGAAAUAAAGCCAUUUGCCAUCCACAAAGCAAUCAGCUCCUCCCUCCUCAUCACCUCAUCUUUUGGAAAUGUAGCGCAAUACGCAAAGCAUUGCUUCAAAUGUGGUGAUAGAUUAGUGUAACUCAACCUCAAAGCAGGUAAGAUCUUGCUUGCUUCUUCUCUUAGAUCCCAAAUCUCACUUUCUUUGACAGCUAUCCACUGAUCUUCAUUAUCUUUUAGCCGCAUUAGGUUCCCGAGUGCCUUUAUAGCUAAAGGAACACCACCACACUUCUUCACUAUUGAUACUCCAAUGGCUUCCAGUUGCGCCCGCUCCUCUGUCCUUCUCAUCCCCAAUGCAAGCCGUUGAAACAAAUGCCAAGAAUCUUCUUCAGACAAUCUCCCCAUGGGCUGGACAAAAGUUGCUGCCAUUCUACGAGUAACCAUCUCAUUACGCGUAGUUACUAUUACAGCACUACCUUUAGCUCCGGACCUUAAUACCUCUUUCAAUUUAUUCCACCUAUCUUCAUAAUCAUCCCACACAUCAUCUAGUACAAGCAAAAACUUCUUUCCAGUUAACUUUUGUUGGAGGCGUUGUUGCAAGUCAUCCAAUUUUUGAAGAUCACAUGAGGCACCAUCAAUGGACUCUAUGAUGGCUUUUGUUAUUCUUCCUACAUCGAAAUCAGUAGAGACACACACCCAGAUCCUCAAACCGAAUUGUUGCUUAACCCUUUCUUCAUUGUAGGCCAUUUGAGCAAGUGUUGUUUUCCCGAGCCCCCCCAUUCCCCAUAUAGCAUAAAUAGGGAGAUCGUCUGCAUUAGCGAGCAGGGUGUUGAUUAGUUCCUCUUUCUCCUUGCCUCUUCCGUAAAUUUCUGAUUCAUUCACGACUGAGCUUGAUUCAUUCAGGAUGUUGCUUGUAUGCCGCCCAUCGUAGGUAUCUACUGCUACGUCCCCAACUCGUGUUGUUAAACCGAACUUUUUGUUGUCAUUGGCAAUGGCAUCCAGUUUCUCUCUCACGUUUUUCAACUUAUGCGCCAUUUUCAAUCGAAAAACAAGUGGAUUAUGAUAAAGAGAAAAGAAGGAUCGCAGUCGAUUUUUUAGAUCUUUUUGCAGCCGAUGCCUUUGAGCUUCAAUUGCAAAGUCAUCCAGCACAUCAUCAACAUCAUAAGCUGCAUCCUUGAGGCUUCUUAGCCAAAUUUUUAUAGCCUCGCUGUUCCAUUGCUUCUUCUCUGCAUCCUGGAGCACAGCUUGAACCAUUGUGAAGGUGCGCUUGAGAUUCUCAAGCUCGGUGUCUAGGCCCCAAGCAAGCCCAGCCUCUUUGAGAGCCUGCAAGCUCAAGUUCUCCAGGAUUGGACUCACAAAAGCAGAAACAACUGCAUCAGCCAUGGCCUGUUUUGCUUUGGAAAAUCUGGGUCUUGGUAACAAGUGAUAUCGCAAGAUUGGUUAUGGAGAUGAGAAUGGAAAUUUUAACGGAAACACAAGAUUGUUAAUGGAAAAGAGAAGUGAAGAAGGGCUUUAAAUAUGAUCAGGAAAUUUUAAAGGAAACACGAGAUUGGUUAUGGAAAAGAGAAUUGCAGAAGGACUUUAAAAGUGAGCAGGGAAUUUUAAUGGAAACACAAGAUUGGUUAUGGAAAAUAGAAAUACAGAAGGACCAAACAAUUUAUCACUCUUUAGAAUAAAGAAAAUUAAUCUAACUUGGACUUGAAGUGAAGAACAUUAAAAAGAACAUAAUAUGAGUUUGAACAGAGAAGGCAAGAAAUGGUAAGUAAAUAUUGAGAAGACAGAGCAGUUUGAGAUGAGAAACGGAAAAGGUGAAAGUGUUUGGUGACGGGCUUUACCUGUGCUCUUCUGUGAAUAAAUUGAAUAGGCUCCACACGGUGGAGCUUGACUAGCUAUGGCUAGAGUAAAGCAAUUGAAGAUUCAGAGAAGGAACAUGGCUGUGACAGGAAGACGAAAUCUGUCAAAUGAAAACGCAAGAUCUGUCAAAUGAAGGACCAAAUAAUUGCUCACUCUCUGGAAUAAUCAAAUAUUAGUCUAUCUUGGACAUGAAUAGAGAAAGGAAGAAAAGAACACGACAUGACUUUGAACAGAGAAAGUAAUAAUUGCCCAUUCGCCUUGAAAUUCUAGCUGGACAGCAUUUGUAAUUUCACGAGGCAAAAGAUUCCUAUCAAUGAGUUAAAUCUCCUUUAUGAGGUGACCUGACCUGUCGGAAUUGCUUUAUCUCCACUUCCAUAGACAAUGAUUGUACUCACGAGUCAUUUCACUCACCCUAUAUUUAAUAAAGAGCUCAAAGGGCACGGUAGAAAUUGCCUCAACAUCAAUGCUCGGGGUAACUGUGGCCAAGAUUAUUGCAGGUUCAGAAUCUACUAAACACUAUCUGCUUGAAACACUUCUAUCCUUUUCUAACGAGAAUUUGAAAAAAAAAACAAAACAAAAUAAAAUGGAAUGGAUUUAGUUUCAAACCAUAAUAAAAUGGGUUUUAUGAGGACUUCUCAUAGAUAUAGGCUACGUACCUUACCGGUAAUUCUAUUAAUAACAUGGUCCUGCUUGAACUUCUAAACAUAGAAUAAGGAUCAGAAUCUGACGAGGGAAACAAUUGAACAUGAUAUAAUUCAUAAUUUAACAAAUGAAUCUAGUAACAUAGUUGAGCCUUGAAAAUUUUAUUAAACAGACUAGUGUUUAAACGAGGAAUUUCUACAAGUAGAUUAUAUGAAUUUCUACAAAUAUAGGCACACCCUAACACAUAAAUUUACUAGGAGUCUCAAUUUGUAUUAUUAUAGGCCAGAAUUAACUAUCAUUUUGAGUAUAAUUUACUUUUCUUUUCUUUUUUCCAAAUGAGCAUAGCAGUUUUUAAGUGCAUUCAUGCUAUGAUGCGGGUGGCAUGCUAUGUUUUUAUUCCAAGUUAAUUGAGAAAUGUAAAAGGUGACAGUGUUUGGUGAUGGUAAUUAUACAAUAUUGUUAUUGUCAUAUAUUAUUUUUUAACAUAAUUUUUAUUUGAAAAUAUACUAAAAUAAUAUUUUAUUAUUAUUUAUUAAAAUUUAUUUUUGAUAUAUAUAUAUAUAUAUAUAUAUAUAUUUUAAAACAAUUUAAAAAAAUUUAAAAAAUUAAUUGAAAGUAAAAGAAAAAAAUUUAUUUUUUUUAUAAGUGGAGUCCAACCACAAAAACAAACAUUAUCUUAUUUAUAUUAUAAAUCUCUUUUUAAUAGUUAAUAGGUAGGUGUUUUGCUCUACGUUGCAAGUUUAGUUAAGUUUUUUCUAACAUAAUAAAAGAUGUGUAGCCGAUGAUAACCCUAAUCAAUAUAGUUUAACUUGACCAGUAAGUGACAUAGGAUAUGAAAUCAAGAUUACCUUGAAGAAAAGAAAGUAAAAAAAAAAAAAAAACAUAACAAAGCUCAAAGCUUAAUAAUCUAUUGUUAAAUAAUAAAAUUAAAAAAAAAUUAAGUUUUUUAAAAAAGUAAUAUAGAAAAACAAAACCGAGUCAACUUGGGUUAAAUUGACCAACCUACCAUGCACAAUAUGAGAUCGGGAUAAAAAAAUUAUAUAUAUUUUUUAAAAGGACCUAGAAUAAAAGACUAAAGUUAAAUAAAAGAAACGUCAGAAAAAACUUAAGUUAACUUGACUAACUCUCACUUAGGAUGACCCCAUGUAAAAAAAAAGUGAAAGAAUCAUAAAGCUCAAGGUCAAUAAUAAAAAAAAAAAUCAAUUUCUUAAAAACAAUUCGAGGAAAAAAAAAUUGAGUCAACUCAGGUUAACUCGAUUAAUCUUCUGUCCAAGAUAUUAGAUCGACAUAAACUCAAAAAAAUAAAAGUUGAACAAAUAACAAAGCUCAAGCUCUAAUAACACAAUGUCAAAUGAUAAAAUAAAAAAAAAGUAAAGGAUAAAAAAAAAGACCUAACUUAAAUUGGGCUAAUAUUCGAAAUCAAUGAUCUAGAUCAUGAGAAUAUGAUUAUCAUGCAGAAUGAUAAAAAUAAAAAAAAUUAAUAUUUUAAAAAUAAUUUAAUACAAAAAAAUUUAAUUAAUUUGAGUUAACUCGAUUAAUUUUUCAUCUAAGAUAUAAAGUCAAGAUAAACUCAAAAAAAUAAAAGUUUAAUAAAUAAUAAAGCUCAAACCACAAUAACGCAAUCUCAAAUGAUAAAAUUAAAAAAACAAAAUUAGUAAAUGAAAAAAAAAACCUAUCUUAAAUUGGGCUAAUAUUUAAAAUCCAAAUCAUGAGAAUAUGAUUAUGUGCGGAAAGGUAAACACAAAAAAAAAAUAACGAAGUAAUAUUUCUAUUCAUAACUUUUUUAAAAAAACAAAUAGCAAUCAAAAUAAUAAGGAUCAAAUAUGAUAUAAAAACCAAAUGAAAAAAUAAUUAGGAAUUAAAUUGAAAAAUAAAAUAAAUUAAGGAAACAAAUUAAAAAAAAUAGCAAUAAAAAUAAUGAGAACUAUUAUUUAAUAAAGAAAUUAAAUGAAACAAAAUGUUGAGUGUUAAAAAAAAACAAUAAAUCAAGAAAGUAAUGAAAAGACAGAAAUCAAAAAAAUAAGAAUCAAACUUGAAUAAAAACAAUUAAAGGAAAAAAAUGUUGAAGGAAAAAAAAAUCAAGAAAAGGGUAAAACACCAAAAACAAAAAAAGAGCAAUCAAAAUAAUAAGGACUAAAUUGGAUAUAAAAGCAAAAUGAAACAAAAUGUCUAGGUAUGAUUUUUUUUAAAAAAACAAAACUCUAAAAAGUAUUAAAAGCAAAACAAAUAUUAAUUAAAAAAAAUAAGAACUAAAAUUGAUAAAAAUAGAAACUAGAGGACACAAUCAAUUUUUGAAAGGACUGACAUGAAUUUCUAAGCUAAGAUAAAGAAAAGAGAGAGGAAAAGAAAAAAAGCUCAUUGAAGCCCACCACACAUUUAUUGUGAACAUGCACCUCACCUAGACAUUUUAUAUGACUUGAUUAAAAUAUAUUUUAGAAGUUAACGACUAGAAUAUAAUGAAUACAAGGAUUAUAUUUCUAGACCUAGAAAAAUCAAAUAAAUACUUGAUUGAGUUAAUUUCUAAUUUUUUUUAAUUAAUAUAUGGAUAUUAUUUUGGGGACAAAUUGAUUUUUUACUAAUUUAUAUGGUUUUUUUUAUAUUUCUCUAUAAAUAGUAAGUUAUGCCUUUUUAUUUUUUAUGAAAUUGUCAGUUAGAAAAAAAAAACUAUGUAAACAUAAAAUUAGAGCUAAUACUCUAAGCAUAACAAUUUCUCUCUCUCUUAAUUAGAGAUUUAAAAGAUUUUUUACUAAUGGUUCAUAUGAAUUAUCGUUGGAUGCCGGACAAUUAAAUGUUUUGUGGUAACCCAGUCUUUAAAAAAUUAUUCAAAACUAAAAAGGAUAAAAUCUUUAGGCAAUAAAUUUUUAAAUAAUUCUAGAUUUAUCUAACAUGAUCUUAAGAACUUCAAAAUAAAUUUGUUUUAUUAUUUUUAUUGUGUUUAUAUUUUUUAAGAAACUCAGCAAUAAACUCAUUUCACCAUGAAAAGAAAAGUGUAUGGACUAAUUUGUUACCAUUCAAUGUUGUAAUGCAUAAUUGAUCAGUAGAAAAGUUGAUUUUACCCCGAUUAGAAGAAACUUUGCUAGUUUUUUUUAGAAUAAUAAAAGUGUAAUUAUACUGUUAUAUUGAAUAGUAGAAUGUUUCUUGCAUCAAAGUGUUUUACUGCUAGUUUUUUUUUUUUUUUUGGUAAUUUAAUUGUAAUUAAUGUGGUGGUUUUAAUUAUAUUAAAAUAUGAAAACUGCAGUUCUAUAACUAUAUAUUGAUUGGGCUCUACACACUGGCUAUGCCUCUAUUAAAGCAAUUGAAGUUUCAGAGAAGGCAACAUUCAUCAACUUGAAUUUGCCCAGUAUAUGUCUUUGUCCCGCACUGGCCAAUCCGCGUGGGCUUCACACGUUGUUGACUUGACAAAUCGCGAAUCACACGCCAGAGAAGAUUGGCUCAAAUUAGAUGAAUGGACAUAAAAGAUGGAAGAAAAGAUAAGAUUGUGGGGUUGCUUUUGUAUACACACCAAAGAUUGAAGAAAAGAUAAGAUUUCAUAUCCAAAGAUCGCAAAAGAUCUGAUCAAAACUGUGGUGCGAUUUUGAAAUAUCUCUUUGUUCAUUGUUGGAUUUGUGGUUUCAAAUAUCUCUUUGUUAAUUGUUGUACCAUCAAAAGAAAAACCGAAAGUGAUAAUGCAACAUCCAAAAGUUGAGAGACAGGCAGAGAGUGAGAGAUUAUUUAAAGAUCCUUGUCAAAAUUGAUAAACAAGACUAGUGAUUAACCAUCAAACAGUCAGCAAUGGAUAUGAUCUUAAAUUUGAAACAAUCAAUGAACGCGUUGAAUGGAGACUUUCUACAAAUACAUAAACUACAUUACCAAUCACUUCCAUCAACAACCACAAUUAACAACCCAGAAACACAAAAAAGAAGAAGUUAAUCUCGGAAAAUUGUAUGAAACCCACCUCAAAUCCGAUUUCUUGAACAAGUCAAAUGAGUUUCUAAUACAUGAAAGAUAAAUCAAAUCGGUCUUUUUUACAUUUCAGUCUGAAAACUAAACUAUUACAGCGACCUAAAUCCUAAUUCCAUCCAUGCAUACGAUGGUGAAGAAUAAGAUUGGCGCGAAAUUAAGUUAGUUACAUGGUGUUGGUUAUAGUGGGCUGGGCCGAGCAAUUUUAAAAGGUAGAAAACGGAGCCACCAUCAAAGCCUGUGGUUCUGCUCCAUGGAAGGCCUACUUCUAUGGUAGAAUUGACUAGGAAUUUUAUUUUAUUUUAUUUUAGCCAGAAUAUAUUUUAUUUUAAGAUUAAAGGGUUUCGGAACUUGACUUUCCUUAACUUUAAUUAGUUCACCACCUAUCAAUUGAUGAACAACAAUUUUGAAAAUUUUAAAAUUUAUUUUAAAAGCUUCAAUUUAAUAUGUUUUAGUAUUUUUUUUUAUCAUUUUGAUUUGUUAAUUUUAAAAAAUAUUAUUUUAAUAUAUUUUUGAGUAAAAAAAUAUAUAUCUGAAGAUCUGAAACUAAAUAUCAUCUUCAAUUAGGUUACUAAAGUGCCCAGCAUUCUUUAAUUAAUUUACAUCCAAAAUAUACUCUCUGUUUUUUUUUUUCAACAGAAAUCUUGCCCAAGACAACAACAUUUUGUUAAAUAAAAAUUUAUAUGGAUGAAUGUGUGACUCAAAUGAGAGAUGUCUAGUAUCAGGGAUGAAUUUUUUUCCUACUAUUUUUUAUCCAAUAGAAGUUCCAUCAAGUUUUACCUUAUAACCUUUUCUUAAAAAUAAAAAACAAAAUAAAAUAAAGCUUUUCUAAAACGAAAUUCAAAAUAUAUCCUCAUUAAAACAGGGCAAAGCAUGAAACUUGCGGCUAGAACCUUUAGAACAUGGAUGGGUAAUAUGUGGCCCACUAGAAUCAUUUCCUAUUGCGAACUUUUGAUCGCGUGGCUGAAAAGUUUUAAAAAAUAAUAUAAAUAAUAUUUUAAAAAAUUAUUUAAUGGUCUAAAGUUUUUUGGAUAAAUAAUUAUUUAAUAUUACAUUAAAGCUCUUAAACAAUCAUGAAUUCAAAUCUUAUUAUUUUUAUUUUUUAUUUUAAUUAAAAUUAAUUAAUCACAUAAGAUAUAUACUAAAAAAUAAUAUAAAUAACAUUUUAAAAUUUUACAUAACAAUUUAAAAUUUUAAAUUAAUUUGAUUGGUCUAGUGUGGUUUUGAGGUUUGAAAGAUACUGUGAUAUCAGUGUAUGUUUGUGCUUGGUAGAAUAUUCAACUGUGUAUAACGUUUUUAGUUGGGUGAUCGUUAGGACUGCUGGUCCAAAUUAUGGCUGUAUUUGCCCCAUCUUGAAGUCAGAGCUUAGUUUUUGUUUUGCAAGCACAUGCCAUUGCACAAUUUGGGUUUUGUGAGGCCUUCAAGUGACUGAUAUACAUACUUCUUGAAUAUAGUUUGUUAAUUAUAAAUUAAGAUGAUUUAUGUUUCUUAUUUAUAAAUUGAAGGUACAUGAGAAAGAAAGAAAAAGCUGGUAAACUAAUCAAGAAUUAACUUGUGUAAAUGCAAGAAUUCACCUGAUGUGUGUUGGCUUCAUAUACAAACUUCUUGAAUAUAAUCCCUGCAUAUAAGAUGACUUGAUGUUUGUCCGUUGUAGAUUGAGGGCAGAUUUUUGGAAAUAUUUUUCUAAGCUACAUAGAAGAAAGACAAAGCUGUCAGACUACCUAAAGGUGAUUGUGUAAAUUUGAGAAUUCACCUGAUGUGCUGGGGAUUUACUGAAACUGCAUUUGUUUCUAGAAUCAAGUGGCACAUGGAAACAUUUCAUGAGGAUGUGUAACUUUUAGGUUUCACUUUGUGCACUAUGGCUUUUCCCAGACUAUGUAAUAAGAACCAAACGUUGCUUCCUAGCAACGUCAUCCAUUGCCUGCGGUUUUUUAUUGAAGAUGUUGAAAAGAAAAUAACAGAGAUGGUAGUUUUGGUUCUAUAUACCUGAAGGUUUUGGAAAGAAUCUAAUAUUUUGUUCUUUCUCCAUGUAAAAUCUCGCUUGCUUCUUCUCUUAGAUCCCAAAUCUUCACUUUCUUUUAGCCGCAUUAGGUUCCCGAGUGCCUUUAUAGCUAAAGGAACUCCUCCACACUUCUUCACUAUUGAUACUCCAAUGGCUUCCAGGUGCACCCACUCCUCUUUCCUUCUCAUCCCGAAUGCAAGCUGUUGAAACAAAUGCAAAGAAUCUUCUUCAGACAACCUCCCCAUGGGCUGGACAAAAGUUGCUGCCAUUCUACGAGCAACCAUCUCAUUACGCGUAGUUACUAUUACAGCACUACCUUUAGCUCCACACCUUAAUACCUCCUUCAAUUUACUCCACCUAUCAGUAUAAUCUUUCCACACAUCAUCCAGUACAAGCAAAAACUUCUUUCCAGUUAACUUUUGUUGAAGGCGUUGUAGCAGGGGAACCAAUUCUUGAAGAUCACAAGAGGCACCGUCAAUGGGCUCCAUGAUGGCUCUUGCUAAUCUUCUCAAGUCAAAAUCAGUAGACACACACACCCAGAUCCUCAAACCGAAUUGUUGUUUAAACUUUUCUUCAUUGCUGACCAAUUGAGCAAGUGUUGUUUUCCCGAGUCCCCCCAUUCCCCAUAUAGCAUAAAUAGGGAGAUCGUCGUCAUUAGUGAGCAGGAUUUUGAGUAGUUCCUCUUUCUCCUUCCGUCUUCCGCAAAUUUCUGACUCAUUCACGAGCGAGUUGGUAAGCCGCCAAUCAUAGGUAUCAGCUGCUAUGUCUACAGCUCUUGGUGUUAAAUCAAACAUGUUUUUCUUAUUUGCGAUGGCAUCCAAUUUUUCUCUCACAUUUUUCAAUUUGUGCUCCAUUUUCAAUCGAAAAAGAAGGGGGCCAUGACCGAGAGUAAAGAAGGAUCUCAGUCGGUUUUUGGCAUCUCUUUGCAGCCGAUGCCUUUGAGCUUCAAUUGCAAACUCAUCCAGUACAUCAUCAACAUCAUAAGCUGCAUCCUUGAGGCGUCUUAGCCAAAUCUCUAAAGCCUUGUUCUUCCAUUGCUUCUCCUCCGCAUCCUGGAGCACAGCUUGAACCAUUGCGAAGGUGCUUUCGAGACUCUCAAGUUCGGUGUCUAGGCCCCGAGCAAGCCCAACCUCUUUGAGAACAGCAACCUCAAGUUCUCCAAGAUUGCACUCGCUACAGCAGAAACAACUGCGUCCGCCAUAGCUUGUUUCGAAGGGAAAGGAAUUGGAUGUUGAGAAGUAGAAAAGGUGCACGGAAACUAAAAGAGCAAGAAAUGGUAAGUUAAUAUUGAGAAGAAAGAGCAGUUUGAGAUGAGAAAUGGAAAAGGUGAAGGUGUUUGGUGAUGAAAUUUUACUUAUUUUAUUACUGAUUUUAGUGUGGUGGUUCCGUUUUAUCAAAAUAUUAGAACCGCAGUCUUUUAACUAUACUGACUAGGCUUCACAGGGUGCAGACUUGAGUAGCCAUGCCAGUCUGUAUUAAAGCAUUGAAGUUUCUGAUAAGCAACACACCUGUAAUUUGAAGACAACAUCUGUCAACUUGAUUUUCCUAAUUGGUUCAAUACAUAAUUAUCCCAUGUAUUUUUUUUAUCAAUUUUGUGCAAUAUUAGUUUUUAUUUUUAUACUAUAAAGAUAUAAAUCUGGCAUUAAAAUACCUAGUUUUCUCAGAAAUGUUAAAAAAAAAAAAAAAAAAAUCUUAUUUUCUUGCAUAAAGCCAAGUCUAAAAAAAUAAUCAUAUUGUAUUUUCAUACAAUUUUUUUUUAAAGAUAUGUUUAACAUGCAUUUUGGUUUUAAUAACCAAUUUAUUAAAAUAACAAAAAUUAGGUCAAUAUUUUAAAAAUUAUAAAAAAACUUAUUUUUUUUAUGGUGCAAGCAAUAUUUAAUUUUAAGUUUAGAAAAUUUUACUUGAGAAGAUCGUUUUUAUCAAAAUAAAAUAAAAUGGAUAAAAGGCAAUCGAGCGAAUAUUUUUCCAUGGCAAUCUUGAAGGGCAAAACACAUAAAAAAAAUUAGUUCCAAUUAAUUAAGUAAAAUUACGUCUUCAUAAAGGCUAAAAGGAUGUUUAUGAGAUUGAUAUUUUAGUUGAGAAACCUCAAGAGUAGAUUUUCUUAUACAAGUUUUGUUUUGAAGUAACAAAAAAAACUUAAUUGGCGUUUCUUUUGUUGGGCGGAAUCCGGCGACCGGUGAUGUACUGAUAAUUGCUCAACAGAGGGGUAAGCACACUGAUACACAAUAUUUAACGUGGUUCGGCAAAUCGCUUACAUCCACGGGAGAGACAAUAUUAUUUAGAGAUAGAGAAAGGAUUACAACACAAUACAUGGAGGAGGAUUACAUCCACUCAACUCCCAUCUCUCACUGCCCAUGUCAGCAGCUCCUCUUUCUCUUUGCACUCUCUCUCACGUUAUGCCUCACAUCUCUCAUUUAGCUCUCAAGAUGGUGCCUAUAUAUAGCAUGAUGGUGCCACCAACUCCAACCUUAUUUUCAACAAAGGUGGAUGGUCAAAGUCAAUGUUAGGCACAUUAAAUGGCAACACACCUAACAAUCACCCCCUUUGACAGUUAUAUGAGCAAUUGUCCUCUUGCGUCUUCAGCACAAUCUUGCAUCCUGCAGCUCUUCCAAGCUUACCAUUCUGAGAGCAUUUGUGACCAAGUUUACAGGUACUCGCCAAACCUUUCAAUCACCAGAGUCACCCAAGCUCCCCUUUGCUCACUCCAAAGGAUCACUUCAACCAGAUGGUUUAUCACAUCACAUCUGAAGAGUGUUAACGCUUGUCUCUGGAAACAUUCCCCUUCGAGCGUAUCAACCAUGCUCGGCCGGAAUGAUUUAUCAAGCCUCACACCAAGGCUUACAACACCCCCUCAAACGGAUAUUCCAAGUGCGACAGUCAUUGAGUAUCUCAAUAUGAUCACAAGCUCACCACUCUUCCAAGAGUCUACUCAUCCAGGAGUUGCGCCUGCCCUCUGUUCCACCUAGGAACCACGCCUUACUUCUCCAUGAGUCUCUCGCUCAGUCUAAGAGUCCAGGUAGCUCUCCACCUUUAACCAUGGGGGCAGCCCAUUAAAGGUUGAUCCAUAUCUGUCUUCAUACUCUGAGUAUUACAAUGCCAUUCACCGAGCUCACCACCUUGACAAGAGUCAACUCGUUCCCGGAACCUGCGCAUGCCCUCUGCUCCUUCAUAGCAAUCGCGUCUUAAUGCUCCACAAGUCAUCCACUUAUUGUCCAAGGCAAAUGUCUUCUAGCUCAUUGAUCUUUAGCAUGGGGGCAAUAUCCAUGAAAGUCAAUCCUGCAUUUGUCUCCAUACUCAUCACAGCCACUUCAUUGGCUAUUCGUACACUUGUCCACUUAUAUCUAGCCAUCACGUUGGCUCUGGGGCGUUCUGAACUGGGGCUCCUAUCCUGGCCCUCACACCUUUUCCUGAGGUGUCUCCGCUCGUCGUCAUGCGACGGUCUGAACUGGGCUCACAUCGUGGCCCACACCUUCCAUCUGAGGUGUCUUCGCUCGUCGUGGAGCGGUCUCAUCCUCCUUCAUUGGGAUGACUCUAGUGGCUUCAAGAUUCUCUACCACCAUGUGGACUUGGGAGAGAUUACUGCCACUAACUACAUAGAAAGAGAAAAUUGUGGUAUACUCCUCGCAAUCCUCCACCUUGAUUUCUAUGUUUGGAGCUUCUAUGCCUUUCUGCUUGACAGCUCCACCUACACCAACUCUCUUUGGUGUCUUCGCCUUUCAUAGGCGGUCGCCUUUUAUCAUAGGCGUUUGCACCCCCUCAAUUAGGUGCAUCUGCAACAGCUCAUCCUUGCAUGCAUUGGAAAGGUCCUCGCCUGUUGUCUUCAUUAAGAGCACAAGAGACUUCAUGUUGUACAUAGUCUCUGCUUUGAGCUUCAUCUGGGAACUCUUCUUCUCCUUGCACCUGUUGUCUCAUUACAGUACCUCGUUGGAUCCCUCGGGUACUCUUGCACAAUCUCCGUGUGCCCUCGUGCAGUUUCUGUUCUCCAGAUUUCUCCCUAUUCCUUGCUUAUGUUUGACAGCAGCUCAUCCUGUCACAACACCUGUCCAAGUCAAAAUAGGGUGCCAAUCUUUAUCCCCUUGCUGUAUUUCUCUUCCAUUAUCAGGGUCUUCAUCAAUUCUCCCCUCGAGAAAUCACAGUCACCGAAUCUAACUUCUUUGGAGAAAUCACCACUCCAUCAGAUCCUUGAUCAUGCGGAACCCAACUGUUCCCCUUGUGCCGUCAUCCUGCUAGUCUUCAACCGUUUCAUUACAAACUGCUAUACAUAUACGAAAAUAGUACCGUAUGGAUAAUCCUUCCACUAAGCAAGUUCCCAGGAAAGAUUGGAGGGGUCACACUGGUCCCGCUUAAAACCCAAUCUCCUAGACAGAACUUCUUAGGCCAUAUCUAUCCAUCGUACUGUCUCUCCGUAUAUACAACCAUUUGCUAGCUUUGUUGCGGCUUUCCUUUACAAGUGAUCUGGAAUAUACAGGUUUAAUACAUGAUUUCUCAACAUCUGGCGAGACUACCAAUGCUUAGAUUCGUCAAGAUUGGUCUUCAUUAAUUUUCACUCUCCACCUCUAAUUGUCCACAUAACUGGGUGUCCAAGAGUGUCCCAAUUUUACCUUCCAUCAAGGCAUUAUAUUUCCCAUUUAACAGUUCAGCACAUGUAAUUGGGUAAACAUGUGCACCUUCUUCUUCUUCAUCUCUAUCGACCUCAAUCCAGACCCUCAGAUGCCUCCUGAUCGAGCAAUCUCUCUUUAAUAAUUCACCACUGCCAUUUUUGGUCUCGAAUCUCAAUGAUCGUACCAUACCAUUGCAUCCGGAAUGAUCAAAUUAGCUAGAAACAUGUCUUGAAUCGUCCAAAUCGCACUUCAGACGGGCAAGAUUUGAUCAAAACAAUUCUGGCCUGAUAAACGGCUCAGAUUCAAUCUCAGAUCCGGUUGCACGUAGGAUCAGCUACACUGGAUCCUAUCCCUCGGCUCGCGGCUCGGCUCGGCUUCAAUUCAGCUCGACUCAACUCGGCUCGGCUCGCGGCUGAUGCCGUGGCAGAUGGCCCCUGUGCUGACGUCACCCAUUACAUCAUACUGAUGUCAUCAUGGGCAUGCCUACUAUGCAUGUUGACGUCACAAUUGCGUCAUGUUGACGUCAUCCUUAUCCGGGUCAGUCACAUGGGUCGGGUCAACUGGUAUUCGGGUCGGGUCAGCCCAUCCGGGCGAAGAAGACGCGUGGGGCGCGUCUACGCGCGUGGCCUGCCACCUCAUCGGAGAGUGAUGGAGAGUGCGGCCAUGUUCGACGUCCGAUUUUGACGCCAUUUUCACCAGUGGCUUCGUAUCGUCCUCCUCUACACGAUGGUAUGGUCAAAACACAAUUUUGACAACUUUUAUUUUUGAGCAAAAAUCAAACACCACUUUAAACCAAAAGCUCUGAUACCAAUUGUUGGGCGGAAUCCGGCGACCGAUGAUGUACUGAUAAUUGCUCAACAGAGGGGUAAGCACACUGACACACAAUAUUUAACGUGGUUCGGCAAAUCGCUUACAUCCACGGGAGAGACAAUAUUAUUUAGAGAUAGAGAAAGGAUUACAACACAAUACAUGGAGUAGGAUUACAUCCACUCAACUCCCAUCUCUCACUGCCCAUGGCAGCAGCUCCUCUUUCUCUUUGCACUCUCUCUCACGUUAUGCCUCACAUCUCUCAUUUAGCUCUCAAGAUGGUGCUUAUAUAUAGCAUGAUGGUGCCACCAACUCCAACCUUAUUUUCAACAAAGGUGGAUGGUCAAAGUCAAUGUUAGGCACAUUAAAUGGCAACACACCUAACAUCUUUGACUAUUUUAUGAGAAGUUUUGAAAAUUACGUCUCUCUAAUUUUCUUAUUCAUACAUUUUUUUUAUAUAAUUUUGUUUAUGGGAAGUAUUGUUUUUUAAGAAAAAAAACUUAUAACAAUCAUAAAACCAGUUUUAACAAAAAUAAAAAUAAAAUUCAUGAAUCAAUUAUUUUUACACAUUUAUAUGAAAAAUAUAACAAUAAUGAAUUUGAUGAAGUUGUUUAAACAAUUACAACAAAUUAAAACUAAGAAAAUAUAUAUAUUUUAUUCUCAUUCAAUGAUAUCAAUCUCAGGAAUGUGAACUAUCUUAGGCCAGUCUUCUCCUAAAUCUUUCUCACACCUUUUCUUUAAAUUUGGACAAUGCCGAAUGGAUAAAGAUUGGAGAGAAGUGAGAUGUUGGAUACUCUCUGGCAAUGAAUUCAGCUCUGGACAUUCUUCAAGUUCCAAAUCCUUCAGUGCCGUCAGAUGCAACACUUCCUCUGAUAGAGAUGUGAAGUUAUCACAAUUUAUAACAUAUAACCUGCGAAGAGAAGAUAAGCCACACAACCCAUUCAUUGGCAGAGAAUUUAAUCUGCCACAAUACAUUAUCCCUAAAACCUCCAAGGAAUUGAGGUUACGAAGACCUUCCUCUGGCAAGCUUUCAAGUUCCUCGCAUUCAGUAAUCCUCAAGCUUUUAAGAGCAGAAAGGUUAUCUAAUACCUUAUUUGACAAAGACUUCAGAUCUCGCAUCGCAUAAAUUUCUAAGCUUUCAAGGAGGGUAUGAUUUUGCAAAAUCCCAUCGGGAAGCUCCGUCACAUCGUCAAUCCAUCCUAUAUCAAGGGAGGUGAUAGAAGUGAGAUUCCGAACUGACAUCAGUAAUGAAACUUUCCCUCCCUGGAUGCGUAAUGAUUUGACGGAGGGUAUAAUUGGUAUUUCGUUCAACAUAGGGCAACCGUCUAUCCUCAAAACUUGAAGGCGAGGAAAAGUACACGCAGCCCAUUGCUCUAAUCCCUCCAUUGAAUCAAAAGUCAGUGUCUCCAAAGAUGGGAAUGGAUUCUGCCCAUCUCCAUACACAUUGCUGUCAAUACUCUUCACACCAUCCAUUCCAAGCAAUACAAGACUCUUGAGGAACUGCAGUUUCCCCAAUGGUGGAAGUUGUUCACAUGUUGAUAGCUCCAUCUCUACCAGAUUUGGUAGCGUCAUGUUCAAGUUCAUCAUCCAAUUAGGAAAUCUUGAACCUCCAUAUCCACAUAUCUUCAACUUCUUCAGAUUUGAAUGAGGUUGAAGCCCUUCAAGGACCUCCUCGUUAUUUACCUGAAUAACAUUCUUUCUUUCUUGUGGUUGCACAACUGACCAAGGGCUAAAAAGGUAAUCUCCAUUCCCAUGCCAAGAUAAAGUCAGUGAUAAAAGAGUUGUCUUCAACUUCAAAUUGGCACUUUUGGCAUCUUUUAAAUUCUUAACAUUCACAAGAUCUGCGAUACUCAAUUCACCAGCAAGAUCAUUCAGCCCUUCCAGCUCACUUAUGCGACAACCAUUCUCCGCACCCACAAUGAACAGGGUAAGUUUUCGCAGGAAUAUCAAUUGCCCCAUUCCAGCAGGCAUAAAUCGAAGUGAAUAACAACCCGUUAUGUCAAGAUAGACAAGACUUUUCAUGUGCUUCAUACCUUUUGGUAAUUGGAUGAGUUCUCUGCAACGUCUCAGAUCUAGUGUCUGGAGGUUUUGGAGUGAGGUUAUACUUUCAGGCAGUGUUUUGAUCUCGGAGCCUGAUACAUCUAGAUACCUUAGAUGUUUCAAAUCACAAAUUGACUUCGGCAUGGCCCGGAUAUUUCUUAAACUCAAGGCUCGAUGUUUUUGACCAGGAAUCUUUCCCCAUCCAUACUCAUAUUGUUCAUUCCUCACAAGAAGUGAGCGAAGUGAUAGGACCUUGAGAACUUCAGAAGAAGAAACUACUGAUUCGUUAUAAAAAGCAACAUGACGGGCAGUCUUAGGAAUUUCCAGCUCCUCAUCGCCUUCUGUCGUAUAGCAUUCUUGUGCUGCAAUGGAUUGUGCAAGAUCAUGCAUAAGAUCAUGCAUUUUACAUGUUAUGUUGCCAAAUCCAUCAUCCUCGACCUCUUGCAGAAAUGACCUUCCCACUAGUUCAUUGAAUAUCUCAAUACCCAUGACGUGCAAAUCCAUUUCUCUUCUGCAAGAAAUAAAGCCAUUUGCCAUCCACAAAGCAACCAGCUCCUCCCUCCUCAUCACACUGAUCUUUUGGAAAUAUAGCGCAAUACGCAAAGCAUUGCUUCAAAUGUGGUGAUAGAUUAGUGUAACUCAACCUCAAAGCAGGUAAGAUCUCGCUUGCUUCUUCUCUUAGAUCCCAAAUCUCACUUUCUUUGACAGCUAUCCACUGAUCUUCACUUUCUUUUAGCCGCAUUAGGUUCCCGAGUGCCUUUAUAGCUAAAGGAACACCACCACACUUCUUCACUAUUGAUACUCCAAUGGCUUCCAGUGCCCGCUCCUCUUUCC